UGGCAACCCACUCCAGUGUUCUUGCCUGGAGAAUCCCAGGGACGGUGGGGCCUGGUGGGCUGCCGUCUAUGGGGUCGCACAGAGUCGGACACGACUGAAGCAACUUAGCAGCAGCAGCAAAGUGCCCAAGAUCACUUGAAGCUUGUAAACUGGAGAACUGGACCUGGUGUGCCUGGUACCCCCAUUUCCUGGUGGGACCAGUGCUCUUGACACUGCUUUGUUUUUAUCCAGGGUCCCUAAUACCUUCUGACUCUUUCUUGGGCUCUAGUCUGCCUUAACUGUAGGUGUUCUUUAGGACUCAGUCUUGUCGUUCAGUCCCUUCCAACUCUGCAGCGCCAUGGACUGCAGCACACCACGCACCCCUCCUUCACCGUCUCCUGGGGUUUGCUCAGAUUCAUGUCCAUUGAGUUGGUGAUGCUAUAUAACCAUCUCAUCCUCUGCUGCCCCUUCUCUUUUUGCCUUUAGUCUUUCCCAACAUCAGGACUUUUUCCUUCAUUGGAAAGGACUCAGCCUAGACCCAGUAAAUUCAUUGAUUCUCUCAAAUACUGGGUGGAUACAAUGUCAUUGAGGCUCUGUUGACUUGAGCAUAAUAAUGUGUUUGCUUUCCCCAGGAAGCCAUAGUGAAAACCCUUGUAGACUUACAGAAUGAGGUAGGUGCCAUGGGGGAAACUCAGGGAACCUCCCACCCAAGGUCAUGGAAGGCCUUUUUGAGAAGGUGAUAUUAGGCUGAGACCUGAAGGAUCAGUGGCCAUGAAGGCCCCAAAUGGAAAUAGUCAGGCAUGCUAGGAAACCCCAGAAAAAUCUAGAAGCAGAAGUGAAGACAGAGAACAGGUGGCCAGGAGCGGUGCUGGAUAAUUCCAGGCCUUACAAGCCAUUUUGAAAGCUUGGAUUUUAUCCUGAAAGCCAUGGAAAACAUUUAAAGGUGUACACUCGAGUGUGACUUCAUCUGAUCUACGUUUUUAAAAGAUCAGUCUGACUUUGAAAAGGGGACCACAUCAGGAUGGUCGGCUGGAUAGAUCUUGGUGCCAUUCACCGAGAGUCAGCUGUUCCAAAGGUGAGCGUGCCCACUGCAUGCCAGGGAGACAUCAGUGAAUAAGGCACACGGGUACUUGCCAUCUGGGAGACUGAUGGUCAUUCAGAGGAGGAGGAACAGGUACAGGGAGGGGAGAGGGUGGAUCCAGGGCAGUUCUGAACCUGGUGAAGCUAGAGAUGGCUGUGAGCUAUUCAGACAGAAAGGCCCAGUAGGCAGUUGGCCUUCUGGAGUUGUAUGACUCCUCCACGAGAUGUCUGAACCGCAUUUGAGAGUUGUGAGCAUAUAGGAAUCCAAAACGUUAAUAGAUCCAUGGGUUUCAGUGUACUCUAUUUGAUUGACAUUUUUCAUAAUAAAGUGGUUUUUUAAACUAUGGGAAUGGGUGCGAUUGCUUGAGGAGUGUGAAUAGAAAAGAGCUGAGAAACAGACCCUGGGACAUCUGGUCAUUUACAGGCCGGACACAGGAAGGAGAGGCAGCGAGGGAGCCAGAAGGGGCAGCUGUGAGGUCAUUGUUAUGGGUCAGUGCCCGGGCAGGAGGUAUUUCAAAGAGAGAGUGGGUCAGCUGUGCCAGAUGCUGGUAAAAGGUUAAGAUGACAGAAGAAAAUCGCUUACCAGCAGGGGCAUUGUGGCUGACCUUGCAAGAGUGGUUUCAGGGGGAAGGCGGAAGUGUUCCUGGGAGGCCUGUUUGCCACACACAUCUUAGCUCUGCCCAGUGCCAGGCCCCCCUGCUCAGCUGCUUACUGAACUUUCCCCCCAAGCCCUGGAAAUGACCAUGUAUGGAAACUUAACUCAUCUUCCUCCUGCUAAGCCUGCUUGCUCCUCCUGGGCUCGCUCUCCCCACUAAGGGAACAUCUUUCACAGAGUGCCCCAGGCCAGGAACCAGAAUAUCUUCCCCAUGCCCUUCCCCCCCUGCUCCUGCCCAUCUGGUCAGGUGCUAGACAUGUUAAUUCUGCCUCCGGCAUGUCUUGACGUCUUGACGCUGCCUCUGCAGGAACACUCCCCUAGCUCAGCUCUGGGCAGCUCGUGGCUAGGUUCCUGUGAAGAGUGUGGACUUGAAGCCAUUGGUGACGGGGCAACUGGAGAACUCUGAACAGGACCGUCUCUUGCUAGAAAGAUCUCUGUGACGUGAACCUUGACCAGGUCUUCAUCCCUCUUCCCUUCCACCCCACCUCCACCAAGAAAAGCUGUAGACAACGUUUUAGGAACCAUUGGGGAUAUUUUAAUAUGAAGUAGGUAUUAGAUAUUAUAGGAUUACUGUUUUCCUUAGAUGUGAUAUUGUUAGAGAUUCAGUUUGUCCUUGAUCUCAGGAGCUGUGUGCCGAAGUAUUGAAGGAUGGAGUAGCAUAAUGUCUGCACUCUGGUUUCGUAUGGUUUGGUAAAAAUAAACAAAAUACAUAUAAAGACUCAGGACAAAAUAGUCAUCAUUUUUCCAUCUAGAUGCAGGGCAUAGAGGUCUUUAUUGUACUGUUCUUUCAUUUCUGUGUUUGAAGUUUUUCAAAAUGAAAUGUUGGGGACAGCUCUCUCUAGCAGCCACGGUGAAGACAGAUUCACUGGGAUUCCGGGGGUGUUGGGUGGUGGGCAGGGGAGUCCGAUAGCUCCUGCUUUAAGGCAGGACUCUUCUCUAGAUCCAGUCCUUCGGCCUCCCCUCUGCCUUUCACCCCUGCCAUAUUCACACACUCCUGGCUUUGCUAGCAGGUAGAGUUCUGCUUCCGAGAAUGUCCUUCCUCCCGCCGGCAGCAACCUGACAGACUGCCCCCCAUCUUUCAAGUCUGAAGCUCAACAAGUGUCUCCCCGGAGAGCUGGCCCAUGUCUCUGUGAGGCCACCCCUCCGCGUCCUCUUCCCCACCCCCGCCACACCCACCACCUCCAUGUCCAGUAGGGGCUCCUUCCUACUGCUUUGCGCUGUGAUUACUUCUGUCUGCCUGCUUCCACAGCACAACGAGCUCUGUGAAGUCAGGGCCGGGUUUAUUCCUCAGCCUGGCACGCACAGUGCACAAUCAGUAGAUACCUGGUGAUGAGGCGACCAAAGCUCUUUGCCCUACUACUGCCUCAUCCCAUGGUCUCCACGUUAAAUAUAUUUCCCUUCUGUAAUUUGUUCCAACUGAACCCAAAACCAUCUUCCAUACCUAAUCAGGACCCAAGUCUCCUCCUCUUCACUUCAGGAGUUUUUCCUUUUGUUUGGUUGGGUUUUUAAAAAAAUUUUUUGCCUUGCCAUGCAGCCUGUGGGAUCUUAGUUCCUGAACAGGGAUUGAACCCAGGCCCUUAGCAGUGAACGGAGUCCAAACCACCGGCCCGCCAGGGAAUUCCCAGGAGUAUCUUUUGAAUAAAUAUGCCACAUAGCUUGACGACUCCAUACCCCUGGACACGUUGUUCCUGUGACUGGAAUUAUCGCUGGCUUCGUGCACCUGUCUUGCCUGUCCUCCAAGACGAAGCUGGAGUCUCUGCCCUGAAGUUCCUCCGGCUCCUGGCUGGCCAAGGCCAAGACGGUUCACUCCCUCGAGUUCCCACAGUGCCUGCGAGUCCACAGCGUCCAUGACUGCUCUGGCUGUUUACUGAUAAGUUUUUCCCCUGAGACCAGGCAGACUCAGCAUCUGGUCAUCUUUGUAUCCACUGAACCAGGCACUCAAUGCUCGUUCUGUUUAAAAUCUAGUGUUUGGGGGAAUUCCCUGGCAAUCCAGUGGUUAGGACUCUGAUCUCUCACUGCCAAGGGCCCAGGUUCCAAUCUCUGGUCUGGGGUCUGAAAAAAUCCCACAAGCCCUGUGACUUAGCCGAAAGAAAUAAUAAUGGUAAAUUAAUAAAAGAAGUGUUUUGUUGGA